CGUAGAAAGAAGAAGUACCCACUUCUCACCCGAUUGAACUAAUCAAUGGGUCCAUGCUUAGCGGUAGAAAUGUUUAAAGCAUGAUUUUAUAUGUGGGUACCUAUGCGGUAUCCACUUUUAAUUUACCUU
rfam:Tenericutes bacterium 4572_104 ex4572_104_scaffold_17, whole genome shotgun sequence.